AUUGAACGCUGGCGGCAUGCUUUACACAUGCAAGUCGAACGGUAACAGGUCUUCGGAUGCUGACGAGUGGCGAACGGGUGAGUAAUGUAUCGGAACGUGCCCAGUAGUCGGGGGAUAACUACUCGAAAGAGUGGCUAAUACCGCAUGAGAACUGAGGUUGAAAGUGGGGGACCGCAAGGCCUCACGCUACUGGAGCGGCCGAUAUCAGAUUAGGUAGUUGGUGGGGUAAAGGCCUACCAAGCCUGCGAUCUGUAGCUGGUCUGAGAGGACGACCAGCCACACUGGGACUGAGACACGGCCCAGACUCCUACGGGAGGCAGCAGUGGGGGAAUUUUGGACAAUGGGCGCAAGCCUGAUCCAGCAAUGCCGCGUGCAGGACGAAGGCCU
rnacentral:rRNA from 1 species